CCUACGGGUGGCAGCAGUAGGGAAUAUUGCUCAAUGGGGGAAACCCUGAAGCAGCAACGCCGCGUGGAGGAUGAAGGUUUUCGGAUUGUAAACUCCUUUUGUUAGAGAAGAUAAUGACGGUAGCUAACGAAUAAGCACCGGCUAACUCCGUGCCAGCAGCCGCGGUAAUACGGAGGGUGGAAGCGUUACUCGGAAUCACUGGGCGUAAAGAGAGCGUAGGCGGGAUAGCAAGUCAGAUGUGAAAGCCUAUGGCUUAACCAUAGAACUGCUUUUGAAACUGUUAUUCUAGAGUAUUGGAGGGGUAGGUGGAAUUCUUGGUGUAGGGGUAAAAUCCGUAGAGAUCAAGAGGAAUACUCAUUGCGAAGGCGACCUGCUAGAACAUAACUGACGCUGAUGCGCGAAAGCGUGGGGAGCAAACAGGAUUAGAUACCCCAGUAGUC
rnacentral:rRNA from 1 species